AUACGUAGGGGGCGAGCGUUGUCCGGAAUGAUUGGGCGUAAAGGGCGCGUAGGCGGCCUGUUAAGUCUGGAGUGAAAGUCCUGUUUUCAAGAUGGGAAUUGCUUUGGAUACUGAUGGGCUUGAGUGCAGGAGAGGUUAUCGGAAUUCCCGGUGUAGCGGUGAAAUGCGUAGAGAUCGGGAGGAACGCCAGUGGCGAAGGCGGGUAACUGGACUGCAACUGACGCUGAGGCGCGAAAGUGUGGGGAGCAAACAGGAUUAGAUACCCUGGUAGUCCACACCGUAAACGAUGAAUGCUAGGUGUAAGAGGCAUCGACCCCUUUUGUGCCGGAGUUAACACAAUAAGCAUUCCGCCUGGGGAGUACGGCCGCAAGGUUGAAACUCAAAGGAAUUGACGGGG
rnacentral:rRNA from 1 species